ensembl:snoRNA
GCAUGGCUGAAUCUGUGCUCUUUUUAUCAGUAUUUUACACAGCCAGACACCACGCAGUAAAAAGAGCAGUCUUACCUUUAAAGUGGUUAUGAUGGUAUGCUAAGUUUUUUUCAUAGCAUAUCAUUAAUAAAGGGAAAUAAGUAA